rnacentral:lncRNA from 1 species
CUGGACUCCUGAGCUCAGGUGAUCUGCCCGCCUCAGCCUCCCAAAGUGCUGGGAUUACAGGUGCGAGCCACUGUGCCCAGCCGCAAUGUGAUUUUAAUAUUCUGCAGUGGUCAGUAUGGCCAUUUUCACAAUAUUGAUUCUUCCUACCCAUGAGCAUGGAAUGUUCUUCCAUUUGUUUGUAUCCUCUUUUAUUUCAUUGAGCAGUGGUUUGUAGUUCUCCUUGAAGAGGUCCUUCAUAUCCCUUGUAAGUUGGAUUCCUAGGUAUUUUAUUCUCUUUGAAGCAAUUGUGAAUGGGAGUUCACUCAUGAUUUG